CCUACGGGUGGCAGCAGUGGGGAAUAUUGGACAAUGGGCGAAAGCCUGAUCCAGCCAUGCCGCGUGUGUGAAGAAGGCCUUCGGGUUGUAAAGCACUUUCAGUGGGGAAGAAAGCCUUGGGGCUAAUACCCUCGAGGAAGGACAUCACCCACAGAAGAAGCACCGGCUAACUCCGUGCCAGCAGCCGCGGUAAUACGGAGGGUGCGAGCGUUAAUCGGAAUUACUGGGCGUAAAGCGCGCGUAGGCGGUCUGAUAAGCCGGUUGUGAAAGCCCCGGGCUCAACCUGGGAACGACAUCCGGAACUGUCAGGCUAGAGUGCAGGAGAGGAAGGUAGAAUUCCCGGUGUAGCGGUGAAAUGCGUAGAGAUCGGGAGGAAUACCAGUGGCGAAGGCGGCCUUCUGGACUGACACUGACGCUGAGGUGCGAAAGCGUGGGUAGCAAACAGGAUUAGAUACCCCAGUAGUC
rnacentral:rRNA from 1 species